AAUGUAUACUAUUUUAUGUCAUAGCGUAGCUAUAAAUUUGUAAUCCUUCAAAGUUGUUUUACUCCAAGCCAGUUGGAAAGAAGGAACACAAAUUAAAACACAAUUAUUAUAUACUUUACUAAAUAUCUAUUUGCGAUACUUCGUAAACUUUGAAUUUUAAAACCGGCCAAUAACGAUUAAAAUUAUAUUUUAUUAUAGGAAUAUUAUAAAACUGUUGAAAAGCUCGUUAUUCCUCACACCAAAAACUUACUUAAUAACUUCCUCAACUGAACUGCAAUUAGUUUUUUAAAGCUACAACAGCCCCUCUUAAGCUAUAAGCUUUGAGAACUUCAAUAUUAAUACCUGUCAUUUGCAUGAUCUCUAUUAGCAGUCUGAGUUGCAAAGGGGUGACUAUUGUGACCCUGUAAGGCACAAACAAUUUAUCUUUUAAUUAUAGUGCUAUUCACAUACUCAAUGAUAUGUCUGACUGAAUCUAGUCUCUCGUCUGAGUAAAACUUGCUAAAUUAAUUCCACUUCUAAUAUGGCCUAAACUUGAAUUUUUCUGGACACAAAAAGGGUAGAAAAAUAUAAAAUCGCUAUUUAUUCUAAAGCUCGAAGUUAAAGAACUAGCUCUAACUAUACUCACCAAAGCUAUUAAGGUAAGGCUAUGUAUUGCCAGUAUUUCAUAUGACACCCUGAAUCUUUAUAUUUAUUAAGGAGCAUUUUAACAUUCUACAUAUCUUGAUAUUUAAUUAACAGAGGAUAUAAAUUGAACGAACCUUACAAGAAUCUGGUCAACAACUUAUGUGAUAAUAAACCCUCCGGCCUAAAGUGAUUUUUUACUAAAGCAGCUUUUGUUGUUACUAGAGCGCUAUUGGAAGCCGUGGGAUGUGAUGCAAAGUAAUGAACUACCACAUUCCCUGAUACGUUAAAGGGAGAUAAGCCCACUCCUAAAUAAAAUUUAUAAAAAUGUUUAAAACUCCGAUGUGUAAGUCCUCUUAGUUAAGGAACAAAUAUCAGAAAAAGUUAUAUUAAUUUCCUUAGAAUCGGAGCUUUGAUCUAAUAAGGACCCUUCUAAAUCAACCAUGCUAUCAGAAUCCUUAAUUCUGCGAGGUUCUCAGUGUCUAGGCACAAAAGAAUUAUCCUUGCUGCAUCCUAUCAUAGUGACUCCCCCAAUACCUUCUGCAACUGUAGGAAUAAUUUUUUCCCUCUUCACUAGGGAGUUAUCAGAAUUGCAGGGGAGCAAUUUUGUUUUUCCCAUCUGCUUGUUACUUUCAGAAACGGUGGAAUUGGAGGGAAGAAUCUUUCCUUCUUCUUGGACUAGAUGGAGUAUGCAUUUAAGGCCUCUCCUUGAUCGUUUCUCAUCUAAGAUACGUUAUUUGACUUUGCGUGGAAAUCUCUUGACAAGAAGAAAUCCACCUCGUAUUGGAAUAAACGGGAGUCUAUUUUGUUGAAUACUUCUUCUUUCCUUUCAAUCCGAACACCCAAGUAUGAAGAGACUCCCUUGAUAAAAAGUCCAUUUGCGUGUUCUCUUUUGAAAGGAAUUCAGACAAAAUCUGCCCAAAUUCCUCUUUUCAUCAAGGAAAUUUGUUUCAACAAAUUACAGGUCCUAUUUUGAGCAAAGCAGAUUCAGAAGAUAACAUAGAAUUUUAUCAAGACAUUGAUGAUAAAAUUUACCCUCAAACUAUUAAAGAUGAAGGAUUUAUUUAUGUUACUGGAUAUGUGGCCAAAUCGUUAGAUCAAAAAAUUUCCACUCUGGGGAGUAAUACUUCCAGCAUCCAAGUUCCUCCAAGUCCAUGGCUUAAAACAUUGUCGAGAGAGGGACUGCUUUCAAAUUUUUUGGAAUUUUGCCAAAAAAAAUAGAGAAGCAUUUCAUUAAGUUUCAUGGGAAUUUUUUAUACAGAACAUAUGUGAUAGAUCGACUCAUUAGCAUAAUUGUGGAAAAGUAUCCUAAGCAAGAAUGUGAAGUUAUAAAAAAAUUCAUUCGAUUAAAGUAUAUUAAUAUUGUAAAAAAAGUAGCAUCAUAAAAAGAAAAAUAGCAAGUAAUGCUCAUUAUUUAAUUUUAAACAAUAGAGCUCUUGAAUCUCUCUCGCAGUCCUCGAUUGAUGGAGAAAGCCAUUUGUCAGAAACAAAGUGAAUAAUGUCCCCAUCUGAGAAAGAAUCUUCUUCAGAAUAAAGUGAGAGACUUCAGCAAAUCUGGGACGAAUAGCAGAGUUCAUCUGAAGAUGUAGGAAGAACGAAGAAUAGAUGAUGGUUGCAUUAAUAUAUGCUGGAGGGGUUGUUGAAAUUUGAGACUCAAUAUACAUACUUCUUCAUACGUCCUGUUUUAGCCUUUUUCGGAUACAUGACUAAUUGAUAGUAAAACUGGUGUAAGUGGAUACUUUAAAACUUAAAUCCAAACUAUCCAUGGCAAAUUUAUUUGCAAUUUUCAUUUAAAGUCUUGGUUUUGUAUAGUAGUAUUGACAUACUACUAUACAUUGUUGCAAAAUUUUUGUCUUUUUACUUUAUUGGUUGAAAUAAACCGUAAAUGCAACGUUUUUGGGCCAACUUUGGUGGGAUCUAACCUCACUUUCCUCACAGAAAUAUUUUACCAGUCUUGGUUUUGUAUGAUGUCCUGACAUGUUACUAUACAUUGAUGCAA
rnacentral:lncRNA from 1 species